rnacentral:rRNA from 1 species
GACGUAGGGGGCCAGCGUUGUUCGGAAUUACUGGGUGUAAAGGGUUCGUAGGCGGUGUGGCAAGUUGGGAGUGAAAUCUCUGGGCUCAACCCAGAGGCUGCUUCCAAAACUGCCAUGCUUGAGUGUGGGAGAGGCGCGUGGAAUUGCAGGUGUAGCGGUGAAAUGCGUAGAUAUCUGCAGGAACACCCGUGGCGAAGGCGGCCCUCUGGCUCGUUGCUGACGCUGAAACGCGAAAGCGUGGGGAGCAAACAGG